rnacentral:siRNA from 1 species
AUCACCGCGCAUGUGCUCCGAUGA